CAGUCGAACGGUAACAGGAAGNAGCUUGCUNCUUNGCUGACGAGUGGCGGACGGGUGAGUAAUGUCUGGGAAACUGCCUGAUGGAGGGGGAUAACUACUGGAAACGGUAGCUAAUACCGCAUAACGUCGCAAGACCAAAGAGGGGGACCUUCGGGCCUCUUGCCAUCGGAUGUGCCCAGAUGGGAUUAGCUAGUAGGUGGGGUAACGGCUCACCUAGGCGACGAUCCCUAGCUGGUCUGAGAGGAUGACCAGCCACACUGGAACUGAGACACGGUCCAGACUCCUACGGGAGGCAGCAGUGGGGAAUAUUGCACAAUGGGCGCAAGCCUGAUGCAGCCAUGCCGCGUGUAUGAAGAAGGCCUUCGGGUUGUAAAGUACUUUCAGCGGGGAGGAAGGGAGUAAAGUUAAUACCU
rnacentral:rRNA from 1 species